CCGUGCAUUGAACCCAAAACUGAAUUUGUUCAGUAAGCUCACUCUCGACAUUAUUCGGCUUGUCUCCUCCGAUCGGUGGUGUGGUACACCGUCGUGUCCUUCAGUCUCAGCAACGACCAUCGAACCAACCCCAACUAACCCAAUUCCAAAAUCGAUCACGGUUAGGCCAAACCGAGAAGAGAAAUAGACACCCAAAACCCCGAUCGUCGUUUUAAUUUUGUCGAUUCCGACCACUCCAACAACCGUCUUGUUUCGUCUGUCCGCCAUAGGUACUCGGGGAUCUCCAGACUGUUUCACUACUCGACCCGGUUCCUCCCGAUCCGCUCGUCCACGAGAAGCUGUGAAUACUCGUUCCCGUUCAGUCGAAGAGCCUAGUGAAGCUGG